GGGAGGCAGCAGUGGGGAAUAUUGCGCAAUGGGGGAAACCCUGACGCAGCAACGCCGCGUGAGGGAAGAAGGCUUUCGGGUCGUAAACCUCUGUCUAGAAGGGAAGAAACGAUCAGGAGGCGAAUAGGCUCCUGGAUUUCUUGACGGUACCUCUCAAAGGAAGCACCGGCUAACUCCGUGCCAGCAGCCGCGGUAAUACGGAGGGCGCAAGCGUUAAUCGGAAUCACUGGGCGUAAAGCGCGCGUAGGCGGUCUGAUAAGUCAGACGUGAAAGCCCUCGGCUCAACCGGGGAACUGCAUUGGAAACUGUUGCAGACUCGAAUACGGGAGAGGGUAGCGGAAUUCCUAGUGUAGGAGUGAAAUCCGUAGAUAUCAGGAGGAACACCGGUGGCGAAGGCGGCCACCUGGACAGAUACUGACGCUGAGACACGAAAGCGUGGGGAGCAAACAGGAUUAGAUACCCUGGUAGUCCACGCCGUAAACGAUGGAGUGCUAGGUGUCGCGGGUAGCGACCCCUGCAGCGCCGCAGCUAACGCAUUAAGUACUCCGCCUGGGAAGUACGGUCGCAAGACUAAAACUCAAAGGAAUUGACGGA
rnacentral:rRNA from 1 species